UGUGUGUGUGUGUGUGUGUGUGUGUGUGUGUGUGUGUGUGUGUGUGUGUGUGUGUGUGUAAAUUGUAAAUAAUCUAUUUGACUAAUUUCCAAGGUUCACUUUCAGACAGAGGACAUUCAAGCUAAACAUACUGUGCUGCUUUAAUAUAAG